rnacentral:sRNA from 1 species
GCCAGGCCUGGUGGCACCUGCCUGUCAUCCCGGCUACGCAGGAGGCUGAAACAGGGGGCUCCUUUGAGCCCUGGAGUUUGGGGCAGCCUGGGCAAUAUAGUGGGACCCUGUCUCCU